rnacentral:siRNA from 1 species
UCAAUAGUUUUGGGACAUGUCU